rnacentral:rRNA from 1 species
CCUACGGGAGGCAGCAGUGGGGAAUAUUGGGCAAUGGGCGCAAGCCUGACCCAGCAACGCCGCGUGAAGGAAGAAGGCUUUCGGGUUGUAAACUUCUUUUCUCAGGGACGAAGAAAGUGACGGUACCUGAGGACUCAGCCACGGCUACCUACGUGCCAGCAGCCGCGGUAAUACGUAGGUGGCAAGCGUUAUCCGGAUUUACUGGGUGUAAAGGGCGUGUAGGCGGGGAAGCAAGUCAGAGGUGAAAACCACGGGCUCAACCUGUGGCCUGCAUUUGAAACUGUUUUUCUUGAGUACUGGAGAGGCAGACGGAAUUCCUAGUGUAGCGGUGAAAUGCGGAGAUAUUAGGAGGAACACCAGUGGCGAAGGCGGUCUGCUGGACAGCAACUGACGCUGAGGCGCGAAAGCGUGGGGAGCAAACAGGAUUAGAUACCCGUGUAGUC